UACGUAGGGGGCAAGCGUUGUCCGGAAUCAUUGGGCGUAAAGAGCGUGUAGGCGGUCCGAUAAGUCCGCUCUGAAAGUCCGGGGCUCAACCCCGGGAGGCGGGCGGAUACUGUCGGGCUAGAGUCCGGAAGAGGCAAGUGGAAUUCCUGGUGUAGCGGUGAAAUGCGCAGAUAUCAGGAGGAACACCGAUGGCGAAGGCAGCUUGCUGGGACGGUACUGACGCUGAGACGCGAAAGCGUGGGGAGCAAACAGG
rnacentral:rRNA from 1 species